rnacentral:rRNA from 1 species
UACGGGGGGGCAAGCGUUGUUCGGAAUUACUGGGCGUAAAGGGCGCGUAGGUCGGCCUACUAAGUCGGACGUUGAAAUCCCUCGGCUCAACCGGGGAACUGCGUGUGAUACUGGCGGGCUUGAAUUCGGGAGAGGGAUGUGGAAUUCAGGUGUAGCGGUGGAAAUGACGUAGAUAUCUGGAGGAACACCGGUGGCGAAGGCGGCAUCCUGGACCGGCAUUGACGCUGAGGCGCGAAAGCCA